rnacentral:lncRNA from 1 species
AUGAUAGAGAAUAUAUCAAACACGCUCACUGACCGCUGUGCUGCCAAUCAUGCGGCCAUUCGUUUAGUCUGUGCGUCUUGGAACAAGGCCUUGAAUGAGCUGAAUUGCAACCUUCAUCCUCUGGAAACAAUCGCUUCAAAGACAAAGAGUGCUCUGAAGGAGAUCGAGAAAUCCAUGGGGAUUACUGGGAAAAUCAAGGGGAAAGAGUGCAUUGGGGCCAACAUUGUGGUUCAGAUUAAUAAGAUGAGGUACAUGGAUGGCAAGGGUGACCCUCGUGGCUUUAAGACCUUUCUGAAUGACAAAAAUCUCCCUCUCGGCCUCAUACCACGCUACAGAGGUAAUCGACUGCACAUUCUUUUCCAUAUAUGUGGGAUAUUCUCAAGUCAUCAUGCUGCACUAAAGUCAUAUCUCAGUGUAGGAACAUCCUGUGGAAGCCUGCGUGCUAGCAUACUGGAAGACUUCAACUCUACAGCUGGACAGGUUGAAAUGCAAGUUCUGGGUUUGCUUGGGAAGUUACUGACUGGACCCUGGAUGACCAAAUUCUACACUGGUGCAGAUGACCAAACUGAUUACAUUAAAGGUAUUGAAAUUAUCAAAGAGACCGUGCAGAAACUGAAAGAUCAACUACACUCACCUGCUGAAUUCCUCACUCGCACAACAGACCUCUUUGGAAAUCAGCUGAAUGCUUCAGACAAAAUCCUUGAGAAAUUGCAACAACCACCAAAAGACGCAGUCAUGUUCACUCAAAUGAUGGAAAGCUGUCUGAGAGCGGUCAUUUUAGUCCUUGAAAGGCAGUAUCAACAACACUUUGCUGAUACGUGGACAGUGACGGAGAAACUAAAACAAGAGACAACCUCAGCGAGAUUACACAACAUGGAUGCUGAAGAGCUGAUGGGGAUGUUUAGUGCAUUGAAGAAGAAAGCUCCAAAUGCCACCAUCUGCUACUUGUCCUGUAAAAUGCGAGCACGGAAAAACAACACUGUGGACUACUUGGACAGUUUAGACAAGGAAAAACAAGAGCUGGUCAUCAGGAAGGCAGUGAGGCUGGGUGUAAUACAAAGAAGAAAGAGGAGGAAGAAGCAAGGAGAGCUACAGGAGGAAUUGCACAAACGUCAAGCCACAAAAGAAAAAAAGAGAAGCGAACAUGAACGGAAAGUGUUAGAGAAAAAGAUUGAAGAAUUAGGUGCAGACAAGAUCAAGGAAGCAUUUCCAGAACUCUCAGAAGAAAAAAUUGGCUUGAUCAAGGAGUUGUUGGGUGGCAGAGGGGUGGGGGCAUUUGUAUGUCAUGCGUGGGAUUUGGGUGGCAACAGGGUCAUUUUCAAUGGGAAAAUUGAAACUUUCCAUGCUAAAAAAAAGAAAUACACUGUUGGCUAUUGGGCCAUGAGUGGGGAGCAGUAUGAAUUUGAUGCCCAUGACACUGAUGUGUCCAUCUAUGCGAUGGCAGCAGACAUCAUCUUGGAUGACUUGGUUGUACAAUAA